GACAGAGGCCUCGAGCGUUAGGCGGAAUCACUGGGCUUAAAGCGUGUGUAGGCGGAUGCCUAAGUACCUUGUGAAAUCCCACGGCUCACCCGUGGAACCGCUGGGUAUACUGGGCAUCUUGGGCCAUUCAGGGGCAACUGGAACAAGCGGUGGAGCGGUGAAAUGCGUAGAUAUCGCUUGGAACGCCGACGGUGAAAACAGGUUGCCGGGAAUGCGCCGACGCUGAGACACGAAAGCCAGGGGAGCAAACGGG
rnacentral:rRNA from 1 species